GCAUUAGCUAGUUGGUGAGGUAACGGCUCACCAAGGCUACGAUGCCUAGGGGACCUGAGAGGGUGAUCCCCCACACUGGUACUGAGACACGGACCAGACUCCUACGGGAGGCAGCAGUAAGGAAUAUUGGGCAAUGGACGCAAGUCUGACCCAGCCAUGCCGCGUGCAGGAUGACGGCCCUAUGGGUUGUAAACUGCUUUUGUACGGGAAGAACCCCUUCGAUUCUUCGGAGGCUGACGGUACUGUACGAAUAAGCAUCGGCUAACUCCGUGCCAGCAGCCGCGGUAAUACGGAGGAUGCAAGCGUUAUCCGGAUUUAUUGGGUUUAAAGGGUGCGCAGGCGGAAUGGUAAGUCAGUGGUGAAAUCUCCCGGCUCAACCGGGAAACUGCCGUUGAUACUGCCGUUCUAGAGUACAGUUGGGGUGGGCGGAAUGUGUCAUGUAGCGGUGAAAUGCUUAGAUAUGACACAGAACACCGAUCGCGAAGGCAGCUCACCAAGUUGUAACUGACGCUCAUGCACGAAAGCGUGGGGAUCAAACAGGAUUAGAUACCCUGGUAGUCCACGCCGUAAACGAUGAUCACUCGUUGUUGGCGAUACACAGUCAGCGACUGAGCGAAAGCAUUAAG
rnacentral:rRNA from 1 species